UACGAAGGGGGCUAGCGUUGCUCGGAAUUACUGGGCGUAAAGGGCGCGUAGGCGGAUGGCACAGUCAGAUGUGAAAUUCCUGGGCUUAACCUGGGGGCUGCAUUUGAUACGUGUGAUCUAGAGUGAGGAAGAGGGUUGUGGAAUUCCCAGUGUAGAGGUGAAAUUCGUAGAUAUUGGGAAGAACACCGGUGGCGAAGGCGGCGACCUGGUCCUUAACUGACGCUGAGGCGCGAAAGCGUGGGGAGCAAACAGG
rnacentral:rRNA from 1 species